UACGUAGGGGGCAAGCGUUGUCCGGAUUUAUUGGGCGUAAAGAGCGUGUAGGCGGCUAGGUAGGUCCGUUGUGAAAACUCGAGGCUCAACCUCGAGACGUCGAUGGAAACCAUCUAGCCAGAGUCCGGAAGAGGAGAGUGGAAUUCCUGGUGUAGCGGUGAAAUGCGUAGAUAUCGUAAGGAAGACCAGUGGCGAAGGCGGGUCUCUGGACAGUUCCUGACGCUGAGGCACGAAGGCCAGGGGAGCAAACGGG
rnacentral:rRNA from 1 species